CGGUUGAUCCUGCCGGAGGUCACUGCUAUUGGGACUCGACUAAGCCAUGCGAGUCGAGAGGGUUCGGCCCUCGGCUGACGGCUCAAUAACACGUGGAUAAUCUGCCNUUAGGUGGAGGAUAAUCUCGGGAAACUGAGAAUAAUACUCCAUAGAUCUAGGCUGCUGGAAUGCAUCUAGAUCAAAAGCUCCGGCGCCUAAGGAUAGGUCUGCGGACUAUCAGGUUGUAGUCAGGGUAAAGACCUGACUAGCCUACGACGGAUAUGGGUUGUGAGAGCAAUAGCCCAGAGACGAUAUCUGAGACACGAUAUCGGACCCUACGGGGCGCAGCAGGCGCGAAAUCUUCACAAUGUGCGAAAGCACGAUGAGGGAAUCCCAAGUGCUAGCACGUAAGUGUUAGCUGUUCCUAAGUCUAAAAAACUUAGAGAGUAAGGGCUGGGUAAGACGGGUGCCAGCCGCCGCGGUAAUACCUGCAGCUCAAGUGGUGGCCGCUAUUAUUGGGCCUAAAACGUCCGUAGCCUGUUCAGUAAAUGCUUGGGUAAAUUGUGUAGCUUAACUAUACGAAUACCGGGUAGACUGCUAAACUUGGGACCGGGAGAGGCUAGAGGUACUCCUGGGGUAGAGGUGAAAUUCUGUAAUCCUAGGGGGACCACCAGUGGCGAAGGCGUCUAGCUAGAACGGGUCUGACGGUGAGGGACGAAGCUCUGGGGCGCGAACCGGAUUAGAUACCCGGGUAGUCCAGGGCGCAAACGCUGCUUGCUUGAUGUUAGCUGGGCUCCGAGCUCAGCUAGUGUCGGAGAGAAGUUGUUAAGCAAGCUGCCUGGGAAGUACGAUCGCAAGAUUGAAACUUAAAGGAAUUGGCGGGGGAGCAC
rnacentral:rRNA from 1 species